CCUACGGGAGGCAGCAGUGGGGAAUAUUGCACAAUGGGGGAAACCCUGAUGCAGCGACGCCGCGUGAAGGAUGAAGUAUUUCGGUAUGUAAACUUCUAUCAGCAGGGAAGAAAAUGACGGUACCUGAGUAAGAAGCCCCGGCUAACUACGUGCCAGCAGCCGCGGUAAUACGUAGGGGGCAAGCGUUAUCCGGAUUUACUGGGUGUAAAGGGAGCGUAGACGGUGCGCCAAGUCUGGAGUGAAAGGCGGGGGCCCAACCCCCGAACUGCUCUGGAAACUAUGUGACUGGAGUGCAGGAGAGGUGAGCGGAAUUCCUAGUGUAGCGGUGAAAUGCGUAGAUAUUAGGAGGAACACCAGUGGCGAAGGCGGCUCACUGGACUGUAACUGACGUUGAGGCUCGAAAGCGUGGGGAGCAAACAGGAUUAGAUACCCGGGUAGUC
rnacentral:rRNA from 1 species